GUCAAGCGAGAAUAGCAAAGAGGGACGUUUCUUACUUGCAAGGACAGAAAAUGUGGUUUUCUUCCAAACUCUGCUUCCCAUUGACAACCAAAUACUGAAACCAAAUACUGCGGGCUCCCAGAGCACCCUGGGGAUCAGCGCUUAGCCAUGCCCUGGAAAUGGUCCCACUGGGCUACAACAGCAGCUCCAUAAUUCAUCAUGUGACUCAGGAGAGAAGGAGGAGAGAAGUCAUUGGAUAAAUUUAGAGCAGAGACUGCUUUUCAUCUUCGGUCCUCGAGAAUUGGAUCCCAGCACGGCUGAUCUUUCCCCAGGAAAGUGUUCCUGACACCAGAUCAAGAUUGAUCCCAGAGACUCUGACAUGCUUGAUCCUUGAUUUUUAUUACCCUCCAACUACCCAUUUUCUCCAGUGAUGAAUACUAAGACAGUUUGAAAUCUGUAAGUAUCAGAGUCAAUCCCUGGGUUUGGGCAAGGAAUCAUCUCCUUACUUUGCAUUUCAAGUCAACCGAGCUCAGCUCUGGCUCCUUUGGAAGUGUCUUGGGAGUUUCACCAAUGUAUGCAAGGCAUCUCUGGUUCCUCUUUGGCAUCCCUGCCCUCUAUUUAGAUGUUGCACACAAACAGGGUCUGUCUCGUCGCUUGCAGCCGUCCCACGGCCCUAGGAAUGUGCUCCAGCGCUCGGGUUUAACAUGCAGGCUUCGGGGAAGUACCGAUAUGAUGCAGUUCGGCUUUCAUAACCUCCAGUUUCCAGUUGAACAUCGCCUUUUUAGGACCGACAAGGAAAUCCGAUUGGACGACCUUGGCCGUAUAGCUUCACGCUGUGUGUAAUCCUGGCUUUGCAACUGACGAAAAUCAAUGAGGGGAACAUUGAUCUCCUUGCAAACGCAGUUAGCUCAGCCACCCUCUGCCAGGGAUCUGGGUAUUCAAGUCACUCGCUGGCUGGCACAAUGUGUUUUCAAACCUGGCUCUUCUGGGGCAGUGGCUCUCCGGCUUCACAUUCGCUCUGCUUACAAAUGCAUACAAAUCGCAUCAUCUAGAUGGAAAAAGUGUUCUGCAGGUCCACAGCGCAGCCUCUAUGUUUGUUUAAGGUUAAGCAAAAUAGCCUGCAUGUCAACGACAUUGCAGGGUGUCACCCGGUGAAGAAAAUCCUCCGCAGAAGAGUAUGAGUCGCUCUAGGGAAAUAUUGCCCUCAGCUAGAUGGAUUUGAAGCUCAUCUGAGCUAUUUGGGGGCAAUUUGCCCUUGAUUUUAUUCUUUAAUCAAGGGAGCAAAUGUGAUCAAGAAAUUACCUGAAAACCCCACAAUAAAUAAACACUUUAGCGCAGAUGCACACAAAAAUGAAAAAUAUUACACAGCCAAAUAUAGUAUGUAUAAAAAUGUGUAUUGCAAUAUUUCAUGCUUGUUAGUGGAAAUAUUUUUACAACAUGUCUCCCAAGUGCAGAAAAUAAAUCAAGCCUUUAAAAA